AGCAGCCGCGGUAAUUCCAGCUCCAAUAGCGUAUAUUAAAGUUGUUGCAGUUAAAAAGCUCGUAGUUGAAUUUCGGGAUCAAAUUGUCGGUCGUGCCUCGGUACGCACUGGUAUUAUUGGUUCCUACCUCCUGAAGAACCGCGAUGUCAUUAAUUUGGUGUCGUGGGGAAUCAGGACUGUUACUUUGAAAAAAUUAGAGUGUUUAAAGCAGGCUUACGCUUGAAUACAUUAGCAUGGAAUAAUGAAAUAGGACGUUUGAUUCUAUUUUGUUGGUUUCUAGGAUUGACGUAAUGAUUAAUAGGGAUAGUUGGGGGCAUUAGUAUUCAAUUGUCAGAGGUGAAAUUCUUGGAUUUAUUGAAGACUAACUACUGCGAAAGCAUUUGCCAAGGAUGUUUUCAUUAAUCAAGAACGAAAGUUAGGGGAUCGAAGACGAUCAGAUACCGUCGUAGUCUUAACCAUAAACUAUGCCGACUAGGGAUCGGAUGAUGUUAAUUUUUUAAUGACUCA
rnacentral:rRNA from 1 species